rnacentral:rRNA from 1 species
GGACGAACGCUGGCGGCGUGCUUAACACAUGCAAGUCGGACGGUUGGCACUGGAAGGUUCGCUGGAAGGUGCUGAUAGUGGCGGACGGGUGAGUAACGCGUGAGGACAUGUCUGCAGGAGGGGGAUAACGUUUGGAAACGGACGCUAAGACCCCGUAAGCCGGGAGGUGAAAGUGGCGAAAGCCAGCCUGUGGAGUGACUCGCGUCCUAUCAGCUAGUUGGCGGGGUGAAGGCCCACCAAGGCGAUGACGGGUAGCCGACCUGAGAGGGUGGCCGGCCACACUGGAACUGAGAUACGGUCCAGACUCCUACGGGAGGCAGCAGUGGGGAAUAUUGGGCAAUGGGCGGAAGCCUGACCCAGCGACGCCGCGUGGGGGAAGAAGUCUUUCGGGAUGUAAACCCUUGUUGUACGGGACGAAGGAAGUGACGGUACCGUACGAGGAAGCCCCGGCAAACUACGUGCCAGCAGCCGCGGUAAUACGUAGGGGGCGAGCGUUGUCCGGAAUCACUGGGCGUAAAGCGCACGUAGGCGGGCUGUCAAGUCGGCCGUGAAAGGCAUGGGCUCAACCUGUGCAUGUCGGUCGAUACUGGCGGUCUGGAGUAUGGGAGAGGGAACUGGAAUUCCCGGUGUAGCGGUGAAAUGUGUAGAUAUCGGGAGGAACACCAGUGGCGAAGGCGGGUUCCUGGCCCAUGACUGACGCUGAGGUGCGAAAGCCGGGGGAGCGAACGGGAUUAGAUACCCCGGUAGUCCCGGCUGUAAACGAUGGAUGCUAGGUGUGGGGGGGUUACGUUUUGUGCCGCAGCUAACGCGAUAAGCAUCCCGCCUGGGGAGUACGAUCGCAAGAUUGAAACUCAAAGGAAUUGACGGGGGCCCGCACAAGCGGUGGAGCACGUGGUUUAAUUCGAUGCAAA